UUGGAGGGCAAGUCUGGUGCCAGCAGCCGCGGUAAUUCCAGCUCCAAUAGCGUAUAUUAAAGUUGUUGCAGUUAAAAAGCUCGUAGUUGAAUUUCGGGGUCAGUAGAUUGGUCGUGCCACUGGUACGUACUGGUCUUACGGAUUCCUCCCUCCUGAUGAACUGUAAUGCCAUUAAUUUGGUGUUGCAGGGAAUCUGGACUGUUACUUUGAAAAAAUUAGAGUGUUUAAAGCAGGCUAACGCUUGAAUACAUUAGCAUGGAAUAAUGAAAUAGGACGCUCGAUCCUAUUUUGUUGGUUUCUAGGAUUGACGUAAUGAUUAAUAGGGAUAGUUGGGGGCAUUAGUAUUCAAUUGUCAGAGGUGAAAUUCUUGGAUUUAUUGAAGACUAACUACUGCGAAAGCAUUUGCCAAGGAUGUUUUCAUUAAUCAAGAACGAAAGUUAGGGGAUCGAAGACGAUCAGAUACCGUCGUAGUCUUAACCAUAAACUAUGCCGACUAGGGAUCGGAUGAUGUUAAUUUUUUAAUGACUCAUUCGGCGCCUUACGGGAAAC
rnacentral:rRNA from 1 species